CAUGCAAGUCGAGCGCACUCUUCGGAGUGAGCGGCGGACGGGUUAGUAACGCGUGGGAACAUACCCUUUUCUACGGAAUAGCCUCGGGAAACUGAGAGUAAUACCGUAUACGCCCUUUUGGGGAAAGAUUUAUCGGUGAAGGAUUGGCCCGCGUUAGAUUAGAUAGUUGGUGGGGUAAUGGCCUACCAAGUCUACGAUCUAUAGCUGGUUUGAGAGGAUGAUCAGCAACACUGGGACUGAGACACGGCCCAGACUCCUACGGGAGGCAGCA
rnacentral:rRNA from 1 species